rnacentral:rRNA from 1 species
UCUAGGGUACCAUCAUUAUUUUCCCCUACRRAAGGAGUUUACAAUCCGAAAACCUUCAUCCUCCACGCGGCGUCGCUGCGUCAGGCUUUCGCCCAUUGCGCAAAAUUCCCCACUGCUGCCUCCCGUAGGAGUCUGGACCGUAUCUCAGUUCCAGUGUGGCCGUUCAACCUCUCAGUCCGGCUACCCGUCUUAGGCUUGGKGGGCCUUUACCCCGCCAACUACCUGAUAGGCCGCAGGCCCAUCCUAAAGUGUAUUGCUACUUUUACCACAGACCUCCCAGUCCGUGGUCUUAUGCGGUAUUAGCCCAAGUUUCCCUGGGUUGUCCCCCGCUUUAGGGUUGGUUACCUACGUGUUACUCACCCGUCCGCCACUAAGUUAACCGAUAGCACACAGCGUUCAGCUUUCAGCCGUCAGCUUUGAAGGAACUUCUAUCCUCUCUUUGCUGAUCGCUAAAUGCUAACUGCUGAGUGCUACCGAUUAACCCCGUUCGACUUGCAUGUGUUAAGCACGCCGCCAGCGUUCGUUCUGAGCCAUGAUCAAACUCUAAUCGAAUUCCCGCGGGCCGCCAUGGCGGCCGGGAGCAUGCGACGUCGGGCCCAAUUCGCCCUAUAGUGAGUCGUAUACAU